rnacentral:rRNA from 1 species
GACGAACGCUGGCGGCGUGCUUAACACAUGCAAGUCGAACGGAAAGGCCCCUUCGGGGGUACUCGAGUGGCGAACAGGUGAGUAACACGUGAGUAACCUGCCCUUGACUUCGGGAUAACUUCAGGAAACUGGGGCUAAUACCGGAUAGGAAUCCUUGCUGCAUGGUGGGGGUUGGAAGGCUUCGGCGGUUUUGGAUGGACUCGCGGCUUAUCAGCUUGUUGGUGGGGUAGUGGCUUACCAAGGCUUUGACGGGUAGCCGGCCUGAGAGGGCGACCGGCCACAUUGGGACUGAGAUACGGCCCAGACUCCUACGGGAGGCAGCAGUGGGGAAUAUUGCACAAUGGGCGGAAGCCUGAUGCAGCAACGCCGCGUGCGGGAUGACGGCCUUCGGGUUGUAAACCGCUUUCAGCAGGGGCGAAGCUUGUGGUGACGGUACCUGCAGAAGAAGCACCGGCUAACUACGUG